UCGAGCGGAGUUUUGAAAGCUUGCUUUUCAAACUUAGCGGCGGACCGGUGAGUAACACGUGGGCAACCUGCCCUUGAGACGGGGAUAACUCCGGGAAACCGGAGCUAAUACCGGAUAACACAUAUCUUCGCAUGAGGAUAUGUUAGAAGGUGGCUUUUAGCUACCACUCAAGGAUGGGCCCGCGGCGCAUUAGCUAGUUGGUGAGGUAACGGCUCACCAAGGCGACGAUGCGUAGCCGACCUGAGAGGGUGAUCGGCCACACUGGGACUGAGACACGGCCCAGACUCCUACGGGAGGCAGCAGUAGGGAAUCUUCCGCAAUGGACGAAAGUCUGACGGAGCAACGCCGCGUGAGUGAUGAAGGUUUUCGGAUCGUAAAGCUCUGUUGUUAGGGAAGAACAAGUACCUGUUAAAUAAGCAGGUACCUUGACGGUACCUAACCAGAAAGCCACGGCUAACUACGUGCCAGCAGCCGCGGUAAUACGUAGGUGGCAAGCGUUGUCCGGAAUUAUUGGGCGUAAAGCGCGCGCAGGCGGUUCCUUAAGUCUGAUGUGAAAGCCCACGGCUCAACCGUGGAGGGUCAUUGGAAACUGGGGAACUUGAGUGCAGAAGAGGAGAGCGGAAUUCCACGUGUAGCGGU
rnacentral:rRNA from 1 species